UACCUCAUUGACCAGAAGGAAUUCCUUCCAAUCAAUGAGGUGUAACAACCUCAUUGACUGGAAGGAAUACCUUCUGGUCAAUGAGGCA
rnacentral:miRNA from 1 species